rnacentral:lncRNA from 1 species
CCAUGAAAUUAGAUAGAGACGAUAAGGGAAGCUACUAGGAUAUUUCCCAUUGGUCGAUUAAUGGUGAAUACCGAUAUUUUUUUUCUUAUUUUCAAAAUUUUUUGGUUAGUGUUUCGACUACUAAUAAUGUUUUUUUUUGGUUUUUUAUGUGAUGGUGAAUGAUUCAUGGAUUAGGGGAGUAAAUGGAAAAUAAGUCUUACUUUAGAGUCUUAUUGGAUCCACCAUUUGAUCUCGAUUUGGUGUCUAUAAUUUUUUUUAUUUGUGAUCUUCAAAUAUAUAUGAUAUGGC